rnacentral:rRNA from 1 species
CAGCCGCCGCGGGAAUACGUAGGGCGCGAGCGUUAAUCGGAAUUACUUGGCGUAAAGCGUGCGCAGGCGGUUCGUUAAGACAGAUGUGAAAUCCCCGGGCUUAACCUGGGAACUGCAUUUGCGACUGGCGAGCUAGAGUAUGGCAGAGGGGGGUAGAAUUCCACGUGUAGCAGUGAAAUGCGUAGAGAUGUGGAGGAAUACCGAUGGCGAAGGCAGCCCCCUGGGCCAAUACUGACGCUCAUGCACGAAAGCGUGGGGAGCAAACAGGAUUAGAUACCCGAGUAGUCCCUGUCUCUUAUAC